GCAUCGCUCUUUUCUUUCAAUCUUUUCGUUAAGGGUGACGACGUGUGGCGCUGCUUUUAAUUAUUCAAUUAAAUAAAAUCGAAUUGCUUGUUAAAAUAUUUAAGAGAAAUGCUUUGGAAGAACCGCAUAACCGUUAAUUGGCUGCAUUAUAAAAAAGCCGGCCUGUUGGACUUUGGCGAUUGAACAGCGGUCUCUGCUUGGACCACGUGGUCUUUGUAUUUUGCCUGGAACUUUUAAAUUCUCAAUUUGAGAAAUGUUGCACGAGGUGCACGUGGAAGUGAAGUGGACUUCUACAUAUGGAUAUAACACAUAGCCUAUAUGAGAAAGUACAGGCCUAAUUGACUCAGCGAAUGUUCGUGAAUUUAAUGUUUUAUUUAAAUAUACAACAUA